AUGUCACCCUUAGACUAUCCAUGGAAAAACAUCCACAACUGCCAACUGUGUCCCUAUUUUACAACUUCGCCCUUUUUUAUGGUGAACCACUUGAGGCACCACCGACCAAGUCUGGAACAAUUUAGGUGCUCAAACGCCACAAUUGAACCUUAUUUCUGCAAAGACUGCGAUUUUAAAACAGACCUAACGAUUGAGUUCAAACAACACAUUAACAAAAAUCAUGGUUUUAAACCAGAACCCAGAGAUCUUCAAAGUCUGAGAUUUCCAAAAGAGCAUUUCUGCGUGCAGUGCUCCUACAAAACUAACCUCAAAAAAUAUUUACAACGACACAUCGCAAACUGUCACUCCAAAAAACGCUACGAAUGCUCCAACUGUCCAUAUAAAAGUAGAUAUAAACAAGCGUUACGAAUCCACGUGAAUCAAACUCAUUUAGCUGAACAAGAAAGUGAAUGGCACAAGUGCGACAAGUGUCCUUUCAAAACUAGAGCCAAAAGUUACUUAAGAAACCACAUAAACUACUUGCACUUGAACGAACAAGAAGCUAAGUGGCACCAGUGCAGACACUGUCCCUUCAGAACUAGAUAUAAAACAUCGUUAAAUGCGCACGUAACUGUGAAACAUGUAGACGAAGAACGAAUCAAGUGGCACAAAUGUGAAAAUUGCCCCUUCAAGACUAAACUACCGUCGAGUUUAAAAAGUCACGUAACUUCCAAACACUUGCACGAAACUGAAGUUAAGUGGUACGAAUGUGUCAGCUGUUGUUAUAAAAGUAAACGAAAAAGUCAAUUAAAAAUGCACGUGACCGCCCACCACUCAGAUAUUAAGUCGCUCCAGUGCAACUAUUGCCCGUAUACCACUAAACUGGAAAGCUAUUUAAAAGAUCACUUAAACAAGCGCCACUCAAGCGAAACUGAUGGUAAAUGGUUUAAAUGCGACCAGUGUCAAUUCAAAACCACACGUAAAUCGGGUUUAAAAACCCAUAUAAACCUUCACCAUUUGAAAGAACACGACGCUGAAUGGCAUGCAUGUGAAAAGUGUCGGUUUAAAACCCGGUUAAAAAACACUCUAAACAAACAUAUAAAGGUAUUUCACGAGGUUAAAUGGUACGAAUGCGGUGAGUGUCCAUUCAAAACCAAGUAUGAAACGUCUUUGAAGACACACAUAAACGCGAAACAUCUACCUGAAGAAAAAAUUAAAUGGUACGAAUGUAAAAAUUGCCCGUUUAAGACUAAACGGGCGUGGGAUUUAAAAAACCACGUAAUUUCGCGACACUUGGAUGAUAAUGAAGUUCAGUGGCACGAAUGCGAAGAGUGUUCUUUCAAAACUAAGCUUCUUGAAAAUUUGAAGAAGCACACGAAUCGUAAUCACUCGAAACGACCAGAAUGGUAUGAGUGUGCGAAUUGUUCGUAUAAAGGUAGAACGAAAAAUAGUUUAAAAAGCCAUGUAAGGGUCCAUUUGGAGGUAAAGUCGUUUCAGUGCGAAUUUUGUCCAUAUAAGGCGAAACACAACGAGUACUUGAAGCGGCACAUAAAUAACCACCAUUUGGAUGGAGCGUAUGUUACAUGGUUCGAGUGCGAACGCUGUCCUUAUAGAAGUAAAAACAGAGCGUCUUUGUAUAAACACACAAAAAAAAUACAUGUGUAGAUUUUUUCUGUUAAAUAAAGUGUGGAUGUGUAUAGUUGGUUGCCUAUCACGUCACGUUUUGUCAAUGCACAAACACGAUCUUUACACUGUUGUUUUAGUAAUAACAGUAGUAAAUACGUGCUACGCUUUAUUUUUUGUGAAAAUACAGUGCUUAAAUGUAAUAAUAAUACACAUUUAUGAAGAAAUUUGUAAUAAUUUGUGGACGAUGAAGCGAUAAAAGUAGAGUAGACCUCGUAACGUAAUUAAAAGUCCAAAAUAGAGUGUGAAGCCCCCCAAUAACGAUUAAUGUCAGUAGGUCAACUUCAUUAAUUUUUUUAGAAAAAUGUCAACUUUCGAAUACUCUGAAGCUCCUGGAGCAUGGGGAACUUCAUCAUGGAACGAAGCCAACAACUGCAAACUCUUACCCUACUUUACUACGUCAUUUUUCGCUUGCGGGAACGUCGAAGUCGAACUAUAUUACUGCAACAGUUGCGAUUUUAAAACCGAAUUACGGAUUUUGUUCAAACAACACAUUAACAAAAAUCACGGAAUUAAAAGAGAGUUUGGAACCGAUUUGGGGGACUUCCACGUACAAAAGUACGUUUGCGACAAGUGCCACUUUGAAACAAAUUUCUCGCUAAAGUGGCUUCAGCACACUUUAAGUUGCACGAAAGAAAAUCUUCCAAGUGUGAGUCCUGUGAAAGACUACGCCGCUUUGAAGGAAACUAUUACGAUCCAAUCGAUACUCGGAGAUUAUGUAAAAGACAAAUUGGUUAAACUAUAUCCUUGUGACAAGUGUUCAUACAAAACUAAAUGGAAAGCGGCGCUAAGAAUGCACACAAAACGCGUCCAUUUAGCCGAACAAGACAUCGAAUGGUACGCCUGUGAAAAGUGUAAGUUUAGAACCAAAUUCAAGAAUAGCUUCAAAAGACAUAUAAGUUUUUUUCACUUGAACGAAGAAGAGGUCAACUGGUACGAAUGCAAAAAGUGUCCGUUUAAAACUAGGUACAAAACGUCUUUGAAAACGCACCUAGACGCUAAACACCCGGUUGAAGAAAACAUCAAGUGGUAUCACUGUGAGAAUUGCCCGUUUAAAACUAGACAGGCGUCGUAUUUGAAAAAUCACAUGAUUUGUCAGCACACGGACGAGAAAGACGUCAAGUGGUACGAGUGUGAGAAGUGCCCUUAUAGAACUACGUUUAGCUCGAAUUUGAGGAAGCACGUGAAUGUUAAUCAUGCAGAGAAUGAGCAGUGGUUUGAAUGCACGCAGUGCUCGUAUAGAAAUCGAACGAAGUAUAAUUUAAAGAAGCACUUGAAAGUUCAUGUGGAGGUUAGUGCGUAUCAGUGCGAGUUUUGUCCGUAUACGGCGAAACGCAGCGGUGGGUUGAAGUGUCACAUCAAUAACCACCAUUUGGAUGAGUCGGAAGCUAGAUGGUACCAGUGUGAGUACUGUCCGUACAAGAUUAAGAAUAGGUCGUCUUUGACCAAACACAGGAAGAAGCAUAAGUUUGGUUUAAAUUUGGUGCAGUAGGGUUAGGGAUUGGUGUCAGCGCUUUGUUUUACAUGAUUUAUAUUUUGUGGCUAUCUUUUGAUUAAAAUUUUAAAGAAAAAGAA